GUGUAAGGCUAGCAUGACUUAGUGCUUGUCGAGCGGACAGAAGGGAGCUUGCUCCCGGAUGUUAGCGGCGGACGGGUGAGUAACACGUGGGUAACCUGCCUGUAAGACUGGGAUAACUCCGGGAAACCGGAGCUAAUACCGGAUAGUUCCUUGAACCGCAUGGUUCAAGGAUGAAAGACGGUUUCGGCUGUCACUUACAGAUGGACCCGCGGCGCAUUAGCUAGUUGGUGGGGUAAUGGCUCACCAAGGCGACGAUGCGUAGCCGACCUGAGAGGGUGAUCGGCCACACUGGGACUGAGACACGGCCCAGACUCCUACGGGAGGCAGCAGUAGGGAAUCUUCCGCAAUGGACGAAAGUCUGACGGAGCAACGCCGCGUGAGUGAUGAAGGUUUUCGGAUCGUAAAGCUCUGUUGUUAGGGAAGAACAAGUGCGAGAGUAACUGCUCGCACCUUGACGGUACCUAACCAGAAAGCCACGGCUAACUACGUGCCAGCAGCCGCGGUAAUACGUAGGUGGCAAGCGUUGUCCGGAAUUAUUGGGCGUAAAGGGCUCGCAGGCGGUUUCUUAAGUCUGAUGUGAAAGCCCCCGGCUCAACCGGGGAGGGUCAUUGGAAACUGGGAAACUUGAGUGCAGAAGAGGAGAGUGGAAUUCCACGUGUAGCGGUGAAAUGCGUAGAGAUGUGGAGGAACACCAGUGGCGAAGGCGACUCUCUGGUCUGUAACUGACGCUGAGGAGCGAAAGCGUGGGGGAGCGAACAGGAUUAGAUACCCUGGUAGUCCACGCCGUAAACGAUGAGUGCUAAGUGUUAGGGGGUUUCCGCCCCUUUAGUGCUGCAGCUAACGCAUUAAGCACUCCGCCUGGGGGAGUACGGUCGCAAGACUGAAACUCAAGGAAUUUGACGGGGGCCCGCACAGCGGUUGGAGCAUGUGGUUUUAUUUCGAGCAACGCGAAGAACUUACCAGGUCGUGGACAUCUCUGACACCUUAGAAGAUAGGGCUUCCUUCGGAAGAUGACAGUGGUGCAUGGAUGUCGUCAGCUCUGUCGUGAGAUGUGGGAUAGUCAGCACGACGCAGCGUGACUAGCUGCAGCAUUCAGUUGGUCAGUCGUGAGAUGAACUGUCCGUGUA
rnacentral:rRNA from 1 species